rnacentral:rRNA from 1 species
GAUGAACGCUGGCGGCGUGCUUAACACAUGCAAGUCGAACGAAGCACCUCUCCCGAAGAUUGACACAGCUUGCUGGAGAUUGAUUCAUUUGAGGUGACUGAGUGGCGGACGGGUGAGUAACGCGUGGGUAACCUGCCUCAUAGAGGGGGACAACAGUUGGAAACGACUGCUAAUACCGCAUAGUAAGAAGAAUUCGCAUGUUUUCUUCUUGAAAGAUUUAUCGCUAUGAGAUGGACCCGCGUCUGAUUAGCUAGUUGGUAAGGUAACGGCUCACCAAGGCGACGUUCGCUACCCGGCUUGAGAGAGAGCCCCGCCACUUUGGGACUGAGACCCGGCCCACACUCCUACGGGAGGGGGCAGUGUGGAAUAUUGCAAAAUGGGGGAAGCCAUGAUGCAGCGCCGCCCCGUGAGUGAAGAAGUUUUUCGUUAUGUAAAGCUCUAUCAGCAGGGAAGAUAAUGACGGUACCUGACUAAGAAGCCCCGGCUAACUACGUG